UAGGGAAUUUUCCACAAUGGACGAAAGUCUGAUGGAGCAACGCCGCGUGAACGAUGAAGGUCUUCGGAUUGUAAAGUUCUGUUGUCAGGGACGAACAAGUACCGUUCGAACAGGGCGGUACCUUGACGGUACCUGACGAGAAAGCCACGGCUAACUACGUG
rnacentral:rRNA from 1 species